CGUAAAGAGCGUGUAGGCGGUUCGGUAAGUCUGUCGUGAAAUCCUGGGGCUCAACCCCGGGCGUGCGGUGGAUACUGCCGGGCUAGAGGGUGGUAGAGGCGAGUGGAAUUCCCGGUGUAGCGGUGAAAUGCGCAGAUAUCGGGAGGAACACCAGUAGCGAAGGCGGCUCGCUGGGCCACACCUGACGCUGAGACGCGAAAGCUAUGGGGAGCGAACAGGAUUAGAUACCCUGGUAGUCCUAGCCGUAAACGAUGGACACUAGGUGUGGGCGGAGUCGAAUCUGUCUGUGCCGAAGCUAACGCGUUAAGUGUCCCGCCUGGGGAGUACGGCCGCAAGGCUAAAACUCAAAAGAAUUGACGGGGGCCCGCACAAGCAGCGGAGCAUGUUCUUUAAUUCGAUGCAACGCGAAGAACCUUACCUGGACUUGACAUGGUGCUGCAAGCGCACGGAAACGUGUGACCUUCGAGGGUGCACCACAGAUGCUGCAUGGCUGUCGUCAGCUCGUGUCGUGAGAUGUUGGGUUAAGUCCCGCAACGAGCGCAACCCCCGUGGUGUGUUGCCAUCAUUAAGUUGGGAACUCACACCAGACUGCCGGUGACAAACCGGAGGAAGGUGGGGACGAUGUCAAGUCAUCAUGGCUCUUACGUCCAGGGCUAGAAACGUGCUACAAUGGCGCCUACAAAGGGUUGCAAGACCGCAAGGUGGAGCGAAUCUCAUCAAAGGGCGUCUAAGUUCGGAUCGCAGUCUGCAACUCGACUGCGUGAAGCCGGAAUCGCUAGU
rnacentral:rRNA from 1 species